GAUUGAACGCUGGCGGCAUGCCUUACACAUGCAAGUCGAACGGCAGCGCGGGAGCAAUCCUGGCGGCGAGUGGCGAACGGGUGAGUAAUAUAUCGGAACGUGCCCAGUAGUGGGGGAUAGCCCGGCGAAAGCCGGAUUAAUACCGCAUACGACCUGAGGGUGAAAGCGGGGGAUCGCAAGACCUCGCGCUACUGGAGCGGCCGAUAUCAGAUUAGCUAGUUGGUGGGGUAAAGGCCUACCAAGGCAACGAUCUGUAGUUGGUCUGAGAGGACGACCAGCCACACUGGGACUGAGACACGGCCCAGACUCCUACGGGAGGCAGCAGUGGGGAAUUUUGGACAAUGGGCGCAAGCCUGAUCCAGCAAUGCCGCGUGCAGGAAGAAGGCCUUCGGGUUGUAAACUGCUUUUGUCAGGGAAGAAAUCUUCUGGGCUAAUACCCCGGGAGGAUGACGGUACCUGAAGAAUAAGCACCGGCUAACUACGU
rnacentral:rRNA from 1 species